GGAUUGCCUCAGUAACGGCGAGUGAAGCGGCAAAAGCUCAAAUUUGAAACCCUCGGGAUUGUAAUUUGAAGAUUUGGCAUUGGAGAAAGCUAACCCAAGUUGCUUGGAAUAGUACGUCAUAGAGGGUGACAACCCCGUCUGGCUAACCGUUCUCCAUGUAUUGCCUUAUCAAAGAGUCGAGUUGUUUGGGAAUGCAGCUCAAAGUGGGUGGUAAACUCCAUCUAAAGCUAAAUACUGGUGAGAGACCGAUAGCGAACAAGUACUGUGAAGGAAAGGUGAAAAGAACUUUGAAAAGAGAGUGAAAUAGUAUGUGAAAUUGUUGAUAGGGAAGGAAAUGAGUGGAGAGUGGCCGAGGUUUCAGCCGCCCCUCGUGGGCGGUGUACUGCCGACGCCGAGUCAUCGAUAGCGAGACGAGGGUUACAAAUGGGAGCGCCUUCGGGCGUUCUCCCCUAACCCUCCACACUGCCACCGACGACAUAAUCCACCCAUUUCACCCGUCUUG
rnacentral:rRNA from 1 species